CGUUGCACACGGACAAGGACUGGCAAGCAAGCACGAGAUGAGAAAGACAGAGACGGAAUUUUCUUAGGUGUCGAUUUAAAUAUUGCAUCGAUUUAUUUUCAUCAGAGGUUUUAACCAUUAAAGUCAUUCAAAGGUCUCGAUCAUCAGAGGAAGAAGAGACCUCAAACUUGCCAGUGUUAAAGGUCGGGGACAAUCGGUGGAAACCCCCCCCUCCUCACCACUUGCUAAGAGGUCAGACGUGAAAAUGUGAAAUGCAUCCACACGCCGCCCCGGUGCUGCGGUUACCACGGCAGCCUUUAACCGUCCGACCACGUCAGCUGGAGGAGGCCUACUUCCUCUCCGGCCUGAGACCACAGAGUGAGAACGCCGUCACAGCCGUGCACCGAGCUGAGACACCGCCACCGCCACGUUUCCCUCAGAAGGGGCUGAAGCUUUCAGUGAGGAAUAGAUUGUCUGCAAUCACAAUAACUAACAGGCCCAUCGUAACAUUUGACCUUUAAGAGGGGGGUGGAUUUUCAUAAGACAGAGAAGGACAGAGAGACACGGAGGAGGCACCAGGCAGUGAGUAACCAUCGGGUUUCAUUUAAUGACAUCUGCAUGCGAGUAAAGCUCCAUAAGAAACGAAAGUGAGCACAACACCGACCCCUGAACAGCCCUUCAGUUCAAGAUAAGUCAUCUUUAUUGCGUCCUACUAGACAUCCUACAGCUCACCCCGUCCUCUUUGAAACCAACCUCUCUAGCAUUGCUUUUGAAUGCUGUGAAAUGACUUUUUGUCCACGUUCAUAUUCUUUGGAAAAAAGCUCUGACAGGAAUCACAGCAGCUGCAAUGCAGCCCCACAUGUUACAGACUGAAGAAUCCCCCGUCCGGCCCACAACACGCGCUGUGUCAGCCGGCAAAGGUCAAAGGCCGUGUGUCACACACACAAUGAUAGGGGCAAGGGGGGCGGGGGGGGGGGGAGUUGGAAACACGAGUCACUGCGAGUCACUGCGAGCACACGAGGGGGCCUUCGGCACGCAGCCGAAAAAAAUAAAUAAUUGUAGGAGCAGCAGGACGCAAGGUCGGCCGUGGUCGGACGGAGAAACUUGCCCACGCAAACAAACAAUACUCAUUAUCUG
ensembl:lncRNA